ensembl:lncRNA
CUGAAAUUAGGACAUAAUUAUAUUCUACCAAUCAAACGUACAUGUGUUUCGGGUAACCGAGGUUACAACAAAUUAGACAAAAACGCAGAGCAUAUGAAAACUUCCUCUAAUUCUAGUUUUUCAAAACGGAAAUCAGAAAAGGAAUAGCUUCUACCAAUCAUGAGUUUAAAGGCACUGAACCGAUCAUCGUCUGUGGCAACUUCAACAAGGAUCUGCUAUCCAGGUCAAGCAAGCCCAUCUUGACAUUGUUUCAUGAUAGAGGGUACGCACGGUUGAUACAAGCUGCUACCACAGAAAAUAAUACCAGGCUGAAUCCAGUGUUAAUUUCUCAUCCACAACAUUGCCUCCAUUCAGGUGUGCUGCAGACGUACUACAGCUAUCACAACCAUGUGUACUGCAUUUUCACUUCAGACAUCUCUCAGGUAUGAAUCUUGACUAAAACAUUGGUAUCACAUUUCACUGCUUGCAUUAGUUCUUCCUUCAUGUUAGUGUAAAAAAGCAAAAGUCAAAAUACGUUGUGAAAGCAAAAUACAUUUUUAAAUGUCUACAUGCUCAUGGUAAAACAAAAACUAAACUACAAUUGCAUUUCAAAUAAUGAUUAUCAGAUGUAUGCUAUGCUCAGUUAACUUGUGUCCCCCCCUGGGAGCAGAGGGGCUCUGAAGGAAGGGGUUCCCCCUUUCUGGCCGGUGGGUCCCUCUUCCCAUGUAUCCUCCUCCAGCCCAGAGAGGAUUUAAUGAACAUCCUGCUGUCGUCCAAAUAUGUUGUGAAAAAAUACAGUUAUGUUUUAUUUAAAACUUCAACAAUGCCUCAUUACCUUCUGUAAUCUGUUAUUACAGUUGUCAUAUACUGUGAUAUUCAAGUAGGAGAGUGUAUAAAAGUUUAGUCUGGAUGUAGUUAUUUCUGAUGAAAUGUGUGAUCUAAUUGACCCACAAUCCAAGGAAAUAAGGUUGAUAAAGUAGUAUAUCAAAGUAAGCAGACCGAUUAUUUUUCUACAUUUAGCUUUGACUAUAUUUAACUGAUUAGCUUAAUUAAAAUGUUUUAAACUUCUUCCACUACCACAAAAAUACUUUUAAAGAGUUAAAGCAAGUCCCACAAGUUUUCUUCAUGGAAAAUUACCAUCUAGUUCGUCUAUGUAUAUAUCUGGUGUUUCAUCCUUAUAUUAUUACCCUGUUACAUUUAGAUUUUACAUGUUGCAUUUUCUGGCUGAUACUGUUAUAAUGAGGAUGUGAUAGAAAGCAUUAAAAAAUAUAUAUUACGAUUAAGAAUAUCUCCGUUUUUUUGGGGUCUACACCUUACUCUCU